UGGCGCCCGCCAUUGGGUAGGCCAUAAGAGCAAAAAGCUGAAUUUUAGGGUUUUUGGCUCUUUUUCGCUCAUUUUCUCGAUCGGGGCUCCGAUUAAAGUAAAAACCUGAAAACAAAGGAAAACACAGUAAUAACACAAUAAAAUGAUAAUAAAACAACUAGAAUGCAUAUGAAAUCGGAGUCGAAAAUACGUAAAUUUUAGUGUGAUCAAUGGUUUCCACCACCGUCCUCACGUGGAUGAGUUCC
rnacentral:lncRNA from 1 species